UACGUAGGGGGCUAGCGUUGUCCGGAAUCAUUGGGCGUAAAGCGCGUGUAGGCGGCCCGGUAAGUCCGCUGUGAAAGUCGGGGGCUCAACCCUCGAAUGCCGGUGGAUACUGUCGGGCUCGAGUACGGAAGAGGCGAGUGGAAUUCCUGGUGUAGCGGUGAAAAUGCGCAGAUAUCAGGAGGAACACCGGUGGCGAAGGCGGGUCUCUGGGCAGUAACUGACGCUGAGGAGCGAAAGCGUGGGGAGCGAACAGG
rnacentral:rRNA from 1 species